rnacentral:lncRNA from 1 species
CACUUCCGACCGCUCCUCAAUUUUCUCCAAAUUCAGGCGAAGAAGGGGCUGAACUGGAAAAAGAAAAAACAAGGGGGGGCUUUCUAGUCUUUUCAGCCGACGGAGAACCGGUUUCGGGUAGGUCGGUGGAUCCGGACCCGAUGAUUCCAGAAUAAAAGAAAGAAAACCCUGGAAGCCCUAGAGAAAUUGUCUCCAGUUCACACAGAUCCAGGAGAGAUGUCGACGAUGGGUCCAGAAGAGGUGACAGAAGCGGAAGGAGGAGGAGGAGAGAUGUCGAUGAGGGGUCCGGAAGAAGACAGGGAUGCGAUGAUAGCGGAGGCCAAGCGGUUCGUGGAGAACUACUACAGCACGUUCGACGCGAACAGGGAGGGCUUGGUGAACCUGUACCGGCAACGAUCGGUGCUGAAAAUCGAGGGCCGGAAGAUCCAGGGCAAGGAGGCUAUCCUCGCCAAACUCAUCUCCCUUCCGCAGCCGUGCCACCACGAAUUCCCCGAGAUCAGUUGCUGCACCUAUCGCUUGGCACCCGCAUCGGCAUCGGUCGCCGUGCGCGUCCUGGUCCGCGGCGGGACGUGGUUAGGCGGCAAGAAGGAGGAGGCGGACGCCGCCCUUAUACAGCAGGUCUCUCUCGUUCUCUCUAAGUUAUUAUUUCUUGUCAACGCUUUGCAAUUUCUCUUAUCGAUCAAUCCGUUAAUCAAUCGCAUCGCGCAUAAAUACCGAGAGUACAUCUCAAGCUCCUUGUCUAACGCUCUGGCUGGCUCUGAUUCUUAACCUUCAGAGCUUCAAUCUGGUGCCAGCACGAGGAGGAAGCUUUUACAUAGCUCGACAAUCUGGGAUGCUCUUUGAUCUCAAGAAGCCUCGGUCCGGGGGUCUGUCCUACUGGCUACCGAAACCUCCCUGCUCGGCAGCGCCCUUUCUUGGCCCGUUAUAUCAAAUCCUAUCCUCGGCAUACCCGCCGACGUCGGCUGCCACGGCACCGAGUACGCCUCCGCAUUUCGAACGCCUCAGCAUUUCGAAUCCGAAUGCCACCCAUGAUGAAACUUCCUCCGUCUCUACAGAGACCUGAUGAUAAAACUGUUUUACUUUCAAUGUUCUAGACUCUUGUUUUAUUUUCAAUGUUUUGUUGCACUACUUUUGUGAAUACGUAUUGGAUUCAUGUUCGAAUCCAAGUUCAGCAUAUGUCAUACUGCUCUUAUGAACUGAACUCAGUGGCAGGGCCUUCUAAUUCUCGUGGUAAUAUACUUAAUGCUUCAUGACAUUAGCAGUGAGGAUGUUAAUAUGAUGGACAUACAUGAUGGUGGCGCAAUACCUCGCCCAUGCUUCUAGAGGAAAUAACUUUUCUUUUAACAUACAAGUUUUAUUUCAUGACUUUAAUAUAGUACAGAUAAUCAUGAGUUAAGAUAAAAAUAAAUAGGGAGCAAUUUACAUUUUGGCCGCCAUCGGCGAAAUGGAAGGUAGACAGAUGACUCUAGGACUAGAAUAUUAUAGUAAAUACUUUGUAUCCCUAGUAUUGUUUUAUGUCCGUAUAAAUUGAACCCGACUCAUUCAGCACGAAACACUCUCAAUAGAAUUCCUAACACCAACUCGCGACACCUAAAAGACUAGGAUUGCCGACUUAUAGUCAUCUGACAAAACCAGGAUUUGAGAACCUCUGCCCAUAUAGGCAAAGGCAUUUGGAACAAUUCUGACAAAAUCAGGAUUUGAGAACCUUUGCCCAUAUAGGCAAAAGCAUUCGACAAAACCCGGAUUUGAGAACCUCUGCCUAUAUAGGCAAAGGCAUUUGAAACAAUUAUGACAAAAUCAGGAUUUGAGAACCUCCGCCCAUAUAGGCAAAAGCAUUCAGAACAAUUCUACUUCACCUUGCCGAGAUCUCUCUCUCUCUCUCUCUCUCUCUCUCUCUCUCUCUCUCUCCUCAUGUCAGCCACUACCCGGUGACAACUUAAACACAUGGAACCAAAAAUAUUGGCCCCCGAGGUCUCCGUGAAUUCUUUCAACUUUGUUCAUGCGCAUACCACUUGCAGUUCAGGUGCCUAAAGUAUUAGAAAAAACCAAAUCAAAUAAUCCUUGCCAGUCAAACUGGCUGAUAGAUAAUGCACUUGAAGGAUCCAUGAAGACCCACGAAGACCAUAUAAACCAUCAUUCGAUAUUGCCUUGACACAAAUUAUGGGAGGGUAGAGUGGCUUGACAGCCUCUGCAACAGAAGGACGACAAUACUGACUUUCAGACAACCCACCUUUUAGCAAAGUUGGGCGACAACCAUGGACCUGCUCAGCCCUCAAAUAUGCCCUAGCACUCCUUGGAGUAGACAAUUGCCCAUCAAUGAAUGCACGAAAGAAGUGAUACUGUAAAACAAAUCGAGGACAAAAACUUCAUGAACAUUUACUGGCUCAACGUGGCUGUUUAUUAUUUUUCCACCGAUUUUAUUGAUAACUGUCAAGAUUGUUGAGAGAAACAACAACAAAUUCAGGUAGCGGGUGUAUCGGGGAGCACAUUACACAAUGGACUUGAUCAUUUUCAUCCUCUGCUGGAGGGGGGAGAUUUCUUAGCCUCAGAUGGUUUGUCGAUGCCACAAUCAUGUUUGUUACACUUUGUCCGGAAUGAAUAAUUUACGUUACUGCAUUGCUCACACUUCCAACUACUCUCUGGCAUUUUUGUUUUGAAAGUCACUUUAUAAAUGAGUACCAAUAUAGACGAAUACGAGGCAAGCAACACGGCCAGUAGUGAUAACUUACUAUAGUUCUUUUCAGAGUUUGAAACCUGCAGUUGAAGAGCAUAAAAAUCUGUUAAUUUAAACCAAUAAGCACUCUUCAGCUGAAACAAAUUGGCUAGAGCAAAGUUAUAGCUCCGGAAUACGAUAAACACAUGAAAGAAAGCCACAAAGUUUAAUCUCCUCAAGCUGCUAAAUUGUUUGCCAAAGCAACACCGACCCAUGAUUCAGGCUUUGGAGCAUUGCACUCUUCACACCGUUCUAAAAGAGAAGUAAACAUUUCCACAAUCCGGGCACGUCCGAUCAUUAUCGCGUGUUGCAUCUACAACGUAUUUCAAGGAAAUCUAAUGUCAGUUGGAGAUAAACCGGUAUUCUUAUUGUUAAUUCUAAAAGCAAUCACCAGCACAUGGAAUACCAACCUGCCCCCUUCUUUUGAAGUUUAUCACCGGGGAAAAAUCCCGGCCGUGGUCCCUGGGAGAAUAAAUGCCAAAACAAUGACAUGCAGAAUAUCUGAAAUAGUGAAAAGGAAAAAGCAGCAACAUCCAAAGACAGAGAAAUUUCACAUAGAUCAUGCCACCGAACCCAUCGGAAGCCCCAGCCAUAUCUGUCCAUCAUAGGAGGCAUCCCAUACAUUCCACCUGAACCGAAUCCCUUAUGGGUCGUUUUUGUCAUAUGUUUCUUUUUUAAUUAUUCUUUUGCCAUUUGUCUCGUGUGUUUUCUUGCACUGUUGGUAUAGGUAUGUAAUACAGAUGCUUCCCUUACUGUUGGUAUCUAGUCAUAUAUAGUUUAAUGAACGAAAUCUCAAAUAAUUGGUAAAUCAUUGAAGGAAUGAUGAUUAUAUUAUGUCGGUAGUCUAAUACGCAAUAUAAUAGUCGGCAAUAUGCACCCGCUAUUUUGGGAUAGUGAUCUAAAUUUUCAUAAUCUCAUAUUAUACAACUCGUGAUGUGCUAUAAUCUUGAUUUCAAAUUAUAUCAAUCAAUGCUCGAAUUUCAAAUGCAAUUACUAUUUCAACUAUGCUGUUAAUUAUGUAAUAAAAAUAAAUUUAAUAGCAUAUUAUAUGACUAAGUACAGCCUAUUACCUUAAAUUAUUUAUUUAAUUUUACAUACCGAAUAGCGAUUUUUUGAUGAUAUAUAUAGAGUACUACACUCGCGAUCGAUAUUAGGUAAUAACUACCGUGACAUAGUAUUUGCUUUGAUGCAAUCCCACGUCAUACGCUUAACUUUUGAUCAUAAUCAAUAACUAAAUUAUUAAAAGUAUAAAUAAACAUUUGAUAGAACAUAUUGUGUAUACAAUAAUUUAUAUACAAUAAUUUAUAUAGGAAGCUAAACUCAUGAGUCAAAAUUAAUUUUGAUAUUCCUUCAAAUCUUGAUUUUAGGGAAGUAUUUUUAGAUUUCUGUUCUAUUUGGACCUGGAAGAGUUUAAUCGAAACGGGAGUAGUCGCAGGUAGAAUGCUUCCUGAUGCGGCCUUUUUGGGUUUGGCCCGUUUUGGGUGGGUGGGGAGGGGCAGAGUCGUGACUGAGUUGAGCCGCUUAGGGGCUAUUUGGGCUCUACUUAUUAAUCAAUCAUCAGAGCAUGAGCCUCUGGACUCAUGAUCACCACGUAAGCAGAAACCAUCUCAAGACAGAAAGAAAACCAGAUAGAGCUUGACGACAUUAGCUCAUAUGUGAAAGAACAGAGUCUAAUCCCCAUCGGAGGUUCCAUUUUAGCCAGGAUAGAACUUAAGCUCAACAGGUUGACAUUUAGGCAAGAGAUGAAGGAGAUGAGCAACCAUCUGUGGUAAGGGCUUGCAAGAAGCAAGAGACUCCAAGGACAAAUGGAAAAAGGGGUACUAAAAAAUUAAGAGAAUAGUUGGCUAGGAAAGGUCUCAUGAUGAUAAGAGAGGACAUAGACUUCUCCUUAAGUAUCAUGCGGAAGAAGCUAAAUAAUAUAAAGUGGCACCUGAGAAUAGACUCUUAACUUUACAAGUGACAUUCUAUCAUUCAGACCACCUGCUGUUAACAGAGGAGGAUUUAACUGUAUCAUGACAUAGAACAAAACAAAGCUACAAAAGUAAGCUAGACAGCUCCAGAUCUACCUAUCAAGAUUUCAAACUCAAGCGACUCCUCGACAAUGUUUUCUAGAACUCGAUGAUUUUUCUGUAACAUUCCCUUUGCUUUGCGACAAGCCAAAUAGUACAUCUGCGAAACAAGGAUCCAUCAAAGAAUCUUGCACUCGACCAGAGAUUUGCGGCUCUUUCAAUUUGGACUAUUGAAUAAUAGUAAGCCAGACAAAGCCUCAUAGCAACGGACAAAUGCCUUUUCGACUUUAGCAUGGUUGUUCCCCAUGCUCAAAGCUGUAACCUAGAGAAAUAGAAACGUACAAACAGAAUUAAGGUAAAGCGCAUCAAAGAUUCCCAGCUGGAACAUGAAGCUUCAAUACAUAACAGCGUCGAGAAUGAUCCGCAUUUGUCCAUUUCACAAUCAUAAAGUGCAUGCAAAAUGGACCGGAGAAGUACUGCACUACUGUGAUAGUAAAUUGCAGGACUGUCUCCGCCGGUACUUGUGGAUUCAAUCGUGCAAGAAGGGGGGACACCAUUUGCUUCUCAUCAAGCCCCCAACCGUACUGAAUGACCAUUCCUGUCGCCAUCCGUCACAGGUUAUGUAUCUUAAUAUAUAUGUCUACAUGUAUUCACCUUUCGCUGUGAGAGUUUUCUCAUGAAAGGUAAUCUAAGGUAGAGAACAUCGACAAACUUCUCAAAGCAUAAUGUUACAGGACCAACCUCUUGAGUUUGCUUCAGUUCGGAAGAAGAGAGAAAAUUCUUCCCCGGGAGGAAGUAGAAGCUGUGAAGCAACAUCCAAACCAAAGCAAAAUACAAGCUACUUUUCAAGGUAUGAUCUUAGUUCUGAGUUAGCAUUAACAGAGCCUUCACUCCGUGCCUCGGUGAUCUUUGUACAGCCAAUUCCCUGCAAGAAAGGGGUCAAAGUGAACGUCUUUAUAAGACCAAGGGCUCUAAAAUCCCAUAAGGCAUGCAUCUGCAAAUAACUUCUCCUGCGAAGAGGAGAACAAGAACAACCCAGGACACAUGUGGAUACGCUCAAUGUAGCACAAUGAUUAAAUUAAAUCUGCCAAAAUGCUCCAAUGACAGAUAAAGCCAUAAAUAGACAUCUCACGUCAUUGUGUUCGACUGUUUUGAUAUCCCGUUUCAUAUUAAACUCUUGAUCCUUAGAUACGACGGCAAGGAUCAUGGCCAACAAAAGCAUGGGACUGAUUCACUGAGUGCCCAGAUAAAGAAGGUAAUUUAUCAUUUCAAUAGCAUGAAUGGAUGACAGUACCACUGAAUGAAAAGUUCGAUAACGAACAACAUGCCAAUGCACAUAGCUUGUAAAGUGCCAGAAGGAAAAAGCACAAAAAAGAUUGAAAUGGCGAGCUGACAUCCAUGAAGGAUGACAUUCCCUGUUCAGCAGUAGAACAGGACCCCUAAAAUAGGAAUAAGGCUCUUGCAGGUACUUGCUCAUAAGCUUAAUAAGGCGCAUGCUAUUUCAUUACAAGAAAGAAAAAGAGGACAAUAACCUGCCACGAAGAUGGUUCAAGCCACAAAUUGUCGACUACAUCAAAGUUUGAUAGUCAAAGAGCUAUAAGGCCAUGACCAGCUGCCCAAACAGCAUGAGGGAACUUGGUUUCCUCUGUCCACUUUCAAAUCAUCCAUAUUAUGCAAGUCGCCUCGAAGAAACCAACGGAACUUGUACGCAUAAUGAUAUCAUCGUUUGUUCGCCGGUCUGGGUAUAUCAAGUUAGCUAAAUUUUUAGAACAAUGAUUCGUAUCUGAUAACCCUACCACCUUCUAUUUUUAACCACUGAAUUUGUUGUACUCCCGAUUCUUUAGAGUGCGCAAAAAAUAAAACAGCAGAAAUUUAUAGAUUAGAAUUUUGUCAAUUUUUAGAAUUGUUCGGAAGACAAUAGCCCGGGAUAGUCCAACAAACUAAUAGUAAGCAUCAAGGAGAAUUAAUUGAGCAUAACUCCAUUGUUUAUUUGGCCGUACGGUUCAAUUAGAUCAACGACAUUCUGUGAGUCCUCCUCAGUCAAUGUCAGCCCCAGAUGAUUCACCAGCAUUCGGCUAAUCUGCCUCACAACUUUCGUUUGCCGAAUCCAUUUAGGAACCAUAUUGCUCAAGGCCUAUGCAAAAUAAUGAGCGAAUAAUAUGCAUAUGGUAUAAAAUAUAUCACAUAAUGGGUAACCGCUCCAACCUCCAAAACUUCCAUUUUUACUCUCCUCCGAGAAUGAGAUUAGAGCACAAAGUCCCGGUGCUUAUUGGUUUUAGCAAAGAGAAAAUGAUCGAUUCAAGCAGAACUGAAUUUUGCUUCCCCUUACUCUUCGUCAAUUAUAAUUUAUUUUCCCUUUCCGCUGAACAAAAGAAAAAGGGACAUGCAGCCAGUUCCAUGGACCCCCGGGAAUCGGAUCGGGCAAAUCCGAAUCCAAAGCCGAAUAGGUUGGUUCCCAAUUUCACAAACUAGGACCCAGCCCCGUCUGGUCAAGUUCCCGGUUCCGGAGUGGGCCAAUUUAGCUCAGAAUCUACCCAUAAUCGGGUUCAAACAGUUCAGAGAAAAUUCAAAAUAACUUGGAAUUACCACCGCUCAAAGUUAGAAAAUCAAUCGUCAAAAAAAGUUAAAAAAUCAACAUCCCACUGAGAACCUUUCAGAUCAUCAUGUAACGUCAACUGAAAAUACAUUAGAUCAGAUCUAACGUAUUGUCUUCACUGACAUGUGCCGACUUUUGCCAACAAAUUGGAAGACGUUUAAUCCCCUUAAUCCCCUCGAUUUCUUCCUCGAUUCAAAAAUCUUCAAUCGGAAUUUAACUUUAUCAAUUCGCAAAGUUUCCAAAUCCAAUGGGGUGUCGGAACUUGUUCGGAGGUCUUGUGAGCAUGCAUCAAUCCCCGUUAGAUAUCAGAAUGAGGAGUCCAACAAGAGAAUACAGCUGAAAUCCAAGCGCCUCAAUUCUCAAGUCAAAUAUAAGCUAUCCAGAACUGCAAAUCCACCAGCGACUCCACCUUCAUGUGAUGAUGAUAUCUUUGUUCUCAUUAAAUAACCACACUGUUCAUUUACGAUGACAUUCUCUUUCUUCCUGGUAAGAUCAAUCUCAGAUUACCAUGAGCACAUCAAAUGCAUUUACAAACAUUGUCGCUGAAUUCACUAGUGCUAACACGUGCGAACAACGGUGCUGUAGAAGGCAUGAAAUAAAUUAAAAAAAGAAGCUUUGGUUAUCAGAUUUUCCCAUCCGACUCCAACUGCAAAGAUUAAAUUCCAAGUCAUUGAUUUUAAUUAAUCCGAGAUCACAUCCAUCAAACUAAUGAGAGAUGGAGCGACAUCAAAAAAUUACCUCACAUAAGCACCAUAUACCCCGAGUUCUGACAUGGCGUGAUCUUUAUAACAAAUGCCAUCACGAAUGAGAGUUGUGGGAGAAAUGGACGGAAAAAUUCUUUGCAUAAGGAUAUAGGCAGCAUCCUCCUCACUACCUUCACGUUGCAGCCUUAAUAGGGUUUCUCUCACGUCGUCGCCAUAGAUGUUGUUCCCUAAAGAGAGAAAUGACUUCAUUUUAGAAAGAAGAUAGCGCGGCUUAUAACAAAGCAAUCCUUGAAUAAUAUAAUCAAGGUGAGAGAUAAUUACCUCCCCCUUCCCUCUGGGGCUUCAUGACAAAUAGCUCGGGACUUUCAAUUGCUUUACCAACAAUAUGAGGGUCUUCUAAGCUCCAUAAACCUGCAAAGGAUUUCUGGAUCUCGGCAAUGUCUUCUUUGUUCUCAAGGAAUCUGAUAUAUGCACCAAUGGAGUCUCGUAAGUGAUCAAACACGUAGGAGAUAGAGUCUAUUCGACAGUGCAUCUUCUCCUGUAAUUAAAUUGACUUCUAAUGUUCCCAUCGAUAUGUUAUCGAGACUGUUCGGUAAGACAUAUGAAAGGAGCUAAAAUGGCCAUUUGGUAUUAAAAGUAGUCCUUAAUUCGCAGUCCUGGGUGCCAUUGAUUACAUCUAAGCUUCAAACUCAACUAAACAUCAUCAUAUUAGCUAUUGUUGUAUGCAUAGCACACAUCUAUAUACAUUUGUGCUUCAGGAGUUUUUCCAGGAAUGGUACGAUUCCAUAUAAAGCACAGAGCAUCCAGCGCCGCUGCUGGUGGCGCUGUCCUGCCUUCCUCCAUAUCCGGGAGCCCCACCUCCUCCAGUACCGCCUCCAGUAGUGCCUGUGCCCGGGAUCGGUCCUCCUCCAACUCCUCCGCUGCCUGUCCUUCAUCCAUGGCAUCUGGUUCCGUACGGAAGACGGAAAAUACAAGGGUUGCUCCCUGCUGUGCUGUCAUUUGCAGAAUAAAACUCUAGAGCAAAACACAAAUCAGUAUUCUUCCUAUUCCCAAAAAAAAGACAGCAAAAGAAAAGAGAAUACAUGGUUGAAGUUGUAUGGUAGCACAACUUCCUCUUCCCUCCCAUACUGUCCACCAAAGGAGGCGUAGAUGCGUUGAGCGACGUGGUCAACGAACGCAUCGAACUCAUCCAAAUUGAACUUGAAACUAUCCAAGCCGUUCACAAAUGCAGCAAUGGCGUCUGGGGUCCCAAGACGGACCCCAUCAAAAUCCAUGCUCGCUUCAUCAUAAAAGCUUAUCAGCUCUUGCCUAUCUGUUUCCAAAGAAAGAUGGUAUAAUGUACCCCAUUCUGCCGCCAGGUCUUUGAGUCCUUCAUCAUCCAUACCUCUGUUCUGUUCAAGAACAACAGGUGCAACCAACAUACGCAUAAAGAAAAAAAGGAAAAAAAAAAUGGCAGAGCUCGACCUCAUUUCCACAUACUGACCUGUCGACGACGCUCGAAGGGAAAAAGACGGUGGAGCCUCACCGCGAUCGCCGUCCGACGUUUGCAGAGAUUCGACGACGAAAUGAGAGAGCGGGGCGGUAUUCUGUUUAGGAUGACCGAGAAAUGGGUUUUCUCUUCCACCAAUCAGAGUUUUAAAUUUGGGAAAACACGUUUCGCGACGUCGUUUAUACUAUGUAUGCGGAGUUAGAGCAUGGGUGAGCCAAGUCAGAUUGAAAAAAAAAAAAAAAUUGAUAAAAUAUUACUUAUUUUGAAUUUUCAACUAUUCAAAUCAAAGUUAACACUUGAAGUGAAUCAAUAAAGCUACAUCUACCACCACCGCCCGGCCACCAAUCUUUCCUUACACGAGAUACGAGAUUCGAGAUUGGACAGGAUAAUUCCUACUCGCCGACAUUAGACAACUCUCAAAUGGAUGAACUGGCAUUGGAUAGAGCCGUCUGAUUGGGGCAUUUUUCUGCUUCUAGGGUUUGUGUGUGGAAAUCGAACUUACUUAAAUUGUGAAGAUGUUUAAACCAAUUCGAAUUUUGUGAAAGAUAUUUCUGCUUCUAGGAUUUGUGUGUGUGGAAAUCAAACUUACUUAAAUUGUGAAGAUGUUUAAACCAAUUCGAAUUUGUGAAAAACACGUACACAUCAGCAUUCAAAGCCCCCCUCAAAUUUAGUCGGGAUAUUUCUAUUAAUCAAGAUAAUAUAUAUAAUGAUUUCCCAACAAUAGUCAUAAAACUUAUUAUAAGGAUACCAAUUCAGUCUAAAAUUUUUCAAUUUGGUUAAUUCAGUCCUAACCUUUUAUUAAGAUUUGUCAAUAGUCUAUUCGAGCAAUUUUAAAUGACGAUAGGUGGUUGUUAGCCAAAAUUGACCGAAAUUGCUAUAUUGGUAAAUCUUCAAAAGUUUAGAAUUGAAUUAACAAAUUGAAAUUUUUUGAUUGAAUUUGCAUUUAUAUAUUAAGCUUGAGACUUAAAAAGAAAAAUCUCAUGUGCAUCGGUGGAGAAUCCGAAUGCGGUGUCAUAUCUUUUCAUUUGAAAUGUCAAUGUUUGAUACGCAUGCUGUGUUAAGCUGUAUAACGACAUGAAAACCAAAGUCCGUACAUCAUAUCUGGAAAGAUUUCGAUCGGCUAAGGACAAAUACCCAGUUAUUAUCCUACAUGGGAAAUCCGCCAACCGCGCGGUGGCAAGUCAAUGAUUUCAUCUCAAGGAUUGACCACCGAGGUGGCCAGAGCAGCACCUCACAUUUGGCUUUUGUAGAAGAAGAAUCAAAGCGCUUUUCUUUUUGGUAUAUCUAUGAUGAUGAUGAUAUUAUUAUUAUUAUUAUUAUUAUUAUUAUUAUUAUUAUUAUUAUUAUUAUUAUUAUUAUUAUUGAUCUAAUUCUCACGCACUCAAUAUAAUAUUCACACAUACCACGAGGACAUCUAGAGGACCGCAUGCACAUACGUAAGGUAUUCAUUUAUUUAUUCUUGGGUUUCCACGUUGUCUCUUCCUUUUUCUCCUUUUUCUUUUUUCAUUUUUAUAUUCCUUAGAAAUUAGCAGCCCCUUUAGAAGAAGCCUCUAUUCAAGGGGAAGAAAAGGUCGUCCCGGACUCCCCCAUCAUUGAGGUUCCACUAAAAUGACCAUUAAUUCAGGUUUUAAAUUCAAAGAGAUGAUCUCAGGUACCAACUCCUAACAAAAAAAUUAAAUUGGUCUAUACCAUGGUUUUGAUAAUUCAAACAUGAAUGUUUGUCUAAGGGAGAACCAUCACUUCAACGGGUUGCUUAUUAAACUCUCUUUUGAACUUAUCGUGGAAUCAAGCUGAAUUUCAGAUGAUGACAACAAGAGCAUAUGCAGGUGCAUGGUGCUUGCAUGUAUCUUUGCGAUAUAUGGGAAAUUGGGCCAUUUGCAUGAAAAAGUUGUAGGUGCUUCUUACUUUCUUAGUUUGCUAUUGAAAGCACACGGAAAUCGAAAACCAUGGAGAAGUCUAUCAAGUGACUAAACUUGAUUAAUUUGUAGAGCAUGGCACCUGGAGUUAGGCGUAUCGUCGGUUUUGAAUUUCAACUGGUUGUUUAUUAAACUCUCUUUUGAACUUAUCGUGGAAUCAAACUGAAUUUCAGAUGAUGGCAUCAAAAACAUGUACAAGUCGCCACGCCUGCGUGUAUAUUUGCGAUAUAUGGAAAUGGAAAUCAAAAUCGGGCCACUUGCAUGGAAAAAGUUGGAAUUGCUUUUUACUUUCUUAGUUGGCUAUUGAAAGCACACGGAAAUUGAAAACUAUGGAGAAGUCCAUCAAGUGACUAACCUUGAUUAAUCUGUAGAGUUAGGCGUACCGUCGGUCUUGAAUUUUCCAUAUGCAUCGUGAUGGGGGUAUAGAUAAGGGCUUUGCCUAGUAGAGAGGGGUGCGCACGCUAAAUUUUCAGCAUUAAGCUAAAACAUUCUCCUGUGGGUGAUCUAUAGUCUACUGACGCUAGACGCUCUUCUUUUUUCUUUUUCUUUUUUUUUUUUUUUUUUUGGGUGUGAAAUUAAAAAAGAAAAAAGAAGUAAAAGAAGUAAAACUUGUUAGAAACAAUAAUUAUCAAGUUGGAAUGUAGAAAUCAUGUUCAAUGUAUUGUUACUGUGAUUUAAUAUUUGCUUCUUUUCGUUUCUAAUUUGCUAAUAACUUGACAUCCCUUCUAUAGUUAAAAAGGAUUGUGAUAGUUGCGGACGAAGACUUUUGCAUUACAUUGUUUAGGCUGUUCUUUCACAUGCAUUGCUUGUCACUAUAUAGUAAUGAUAUUUUAAAAUGAGCAAUAAACUUACAUCUUAACCCAUAUUUGAUAAGUUGAGUUAUUGCAUGGAUUAGUUAUAUUUAGUAAAUGGAUUUAAAAUAGUAAAGUCUAAGAUAAUAUGGAUAUUAAACAAACUCACAGUUUACUUAAACCAAUUCACCUCUAUGACUCUCUCUCGCCCUUACUGAUCUCGCAAUCACUCACUCCACGUCCUUACCUCAGUUUGCAUAUGAGUUUUCCUAUAUUAGGUAGAACAUGAAAGCGCUUUAACCAUAUGAAUUAGGUUAGAUAGAAAAACGCGUCGGAUCAUUAUGAGUAUCUAAAUUUGUAUUGCAUAAAAAUAAGUCAAAACAACUUAAAUUGGCCAAAUUAGGUCAAUCUAUUUUUCACUCAACCCAAACCCAACCUAAUCCACCCAUUUCACGAGUCUCUAUAAUACUAAGUAUUAGGUUUUUAUCUCUUGUUUCCAACUAUACAAUUUCUUUUUUUUUUUUCUAAAGUAUUAAAGCUCGAUGGUCAGAGUUCUAAUCCUAACCCCAACACAUACUUUUCUUCACGCGUACUUCGAUUUUUGGCAUGCCCACAUUUGUCUACCUUUUCCAUUCUUGUUGUCAUAGAAUCCUCACCAUGUCCUAAAUUGAGGAAUGAAUUAGACUGAAGAAGUAAUUUCGUAGGGAAGUCGACUCAUGCCGUUUGUUGAGAAGAUCGCCUCAAAGUAAAUGGAUUGAUUCGCUUGGAGGAAAUUAAUGUGCAGAUGUCGGUGCGUUUGACAUUUUUUUUUUUUUUUUAAAAUAUCAUUUGUAUUGAAUGACUAAAAGGUAUUUUUAUAUUUCUAUGCAAAUAUUUAAAAAUAAAUGGUUAUCGAUAAAGAAAUUACUUUGUAUUGAUUAAUUAUUUCAUAAAAUAAGCAAUUAUUUUUAAAAUAUAUAUUUUCAGAUUAUUUAUUUUUCACCAAACAAACGGAGUUUGCCUAAUUGUUCGAUUGAUGCUAUUGGUGUUUCUUUUCAAUUCAAUCGUCACGAUAGCAAUAUGAUUAGAUCUUUUUAAAGUCUGAUUCGUUUGCUUUUACGCUAGGAUUUAUAUUUCCUUAAAAGACUUUGAAACCACAUAGCGGUACCUCUCUUGCAUACAUGCUCUUGGGACCACUAUAGUUAAUGCCCAGAUGUGAAGUUGCUUUGGUCACCCCUCCCAACCCAUUUUAAUCUAAAAUAAAAUAUUGACAGAAGGAUAAUAACUCACUCAGCACAUAUCCGAACUUUUGUCCAUCUUAUUAUCAAAUAUCUCAACUUUUUAUUUAUUUGAUCAAGUACCUCAAUUAUUCAAAUUUAACUCAAUAAAAGAUCUCUAGAGAAUAAAUUGUAUUCAUUUCUGUUUUGACUUUUUCAACAACGAAAACCUCUGGCAUAUGAUAUGGCUCGAGUCCUCCACAACUCCAUUAAGCAUUGAUGGAGGAGACUCGUCGUCAAAAGGAACUGCUGAUGAAAAUUCCACUCUGAGAAAGGUACCCACGUAAUUGGAACGGCAGUAGGGAUCCCAGAAGCAAGCAUCUUCACGUACAACCCAUCAAAGCCCCCAAACUCUUCAAACAGCCUUUCAAAUUCCUGGAAUCAUGCAGAAUAACAUUAAAAACCCAAAGAAAUGAAUAAUGCAAAGAAGAAACUAUAAGUUGAAAGAUGCAGUACCUUGAUGUUGACAUGAUAUUCCUUUGUGUCCCCCCUUCAAAGCACCCCAAUCAUGUCUGAAUUGUGCACUGUCUAUAAGCUUCUUGGAUGCAGCAUAAGUUACAGCUACGAGAUCCAUUUCCCACCUAUUUUUCACAUCAUUGUACCUUGUUUUGGACCUCGGUCCAAGAGAAUCUGUUCCUUCAAAGGUGUAAAAAAAUCCAUCAAUCCAAAUUCAGGCGAAGAAGGGGCUGAACUGGAAAAAGAAAAAACAAGGGGGGGCUUUCUAGUCUUUUCAGCCGACGGAGAACCGGUUUCGGGUAGGUCGGUGGAUCCGGACCCGAUGUUUCCAGAAUAAAAAAGAAAACCCUGGAAGCCCUGGAGAAAUUGUCUCCAGUUCACACAGAUCCAGGAGAGAUGUCGACGAUGGGUCCAGAAGAGGUGACAGAAGCGGAAGGAGGAGGAGGAGAGAUGUCGAUGAGGGGUCCGGAAGAAGACAGGGAUGCGAUGAUAGCGGAGGCCAAGCGGUUCGUGGAGAACUACUACAGCACGUUCGACGCGAACAGGGAGGGCUUGGUGAACCUGUACCGGCAACGAUCGGUGCUGAAAAUCGAGGGCCGGAAGAUCCAGGGCAAGGAGGCUAUCCUCGCCAAACUCAUCUCCCUUCCGCAGCCGUGCCACCACGAAUUCCCCGAGAUCAGUUGCUGCACCUAUCGCUUGGCACCCGCAUCGGCAUCGGUCGCCGUGCGCGUCCUGGUCCGCGGCGGGACGUGGUUAGGCGGCAAGAAGGAGGAGGCGGACGCCGCCCUUAUACAGCAGGUCUCUCUCGUUCUCUCUAAGUUAUUAUUUCUUGUCAACGCUUUGCAAUUUCUCUUAUCGAUCAAUCCGUUAAUCAAUCGCAUCGCGCAUAAAUACCGAGAGUACAUCUCAAGCUCCUUGUCUAACGCUCUGGCUGGCUCUGAUUCUUAACCUUCAGAGCUUCAAUCUGGUGCCAGCACGAGGAGGAAGCUUUUACAUAGCUCGACAAUCUGGGAUGCUCUUUGAUCUCAAGAAGCCUCGGUCCGGGGGUCUGUCCUACUGGCUACCGAAACCUCCCUGCUCGGCAGCGCCCUUUCUUGGCCCGUUAUAUCAAAUCCUAUCCUCGGCAUACCCGCCGACGUCGGCUGCCACGGCACCGAGUACGCCUCCGCAUUUCGAACGCCUCAGCAUUUCGAAUCCGAAUGCCACCCAUGAUGAAACUUCCUCCGUCUCUACAGAGACCUGAUGAUAAAACUGUUUUACUUUCAAUGUUCUAGACUCUUGUUUUAUUUUCAAUGUUUUGUUGCACUACUUUUGUGAAUACGUAUUGGAUUCAUGUUCGAAUCCAAGUUCAGCAUAUGUCAUACUGCUCUUAUGAACUGAACUCAGUGGCAGGGCCUUCUAAUUCUCGUGGUAAUAUACUUAAUGUUUCAUGACAUUAGCAGUGAGGAUGUUAAUAUGAUGGAUAAACACUGCUCCUCUCGACAAUACCUCGCCCAUGCUUCUAGAGGAAAUAACUUUUCUUUUAACAUACAAGUUUUAUUUCAUGACUUUAAUAUAGUACAGAUAAUCAUGAGUUAAGAUAAAAAUAAAUAGGGAGCAAUUUACAUUUUGGCCGCCAUCGGCGAAAUGGAAGGUAGACAGAUGACUCUAGGACUCUCUACCAACGAAUUCAGCGGAGCGAGCCGGUCAUUUGACAAGUUGAUUAUGACAUUUUCAGAUAAAUGCAGGAGAAGCGUAUCCUUUUUUUACACCUUUAUUUGAGACUUUGCGGGGCUCCUCCCUUGCAUUGACCGUGCUUAUCCAGCGUCGAGAUUGAUCCGCAUUUGUCCAUUUCACAAUCAUAAAGUGCAUGCAAAAUGGACCGGAGAAGUACUGCAUUACUGUGAUAGUAAAUUGCAGGACUGUCUCCGCCGGUACUUGUGGAUUCAAUCGUGCAAGAAGGGGGGACACCAUUUGCUUCUCAUCAAGCCCCCAACCGUACUGAAUGACCAUUCCUGUCGCCAUCCGUCACAGGUUAUGUAUCUUAAUAUAUAUGUCUACAUGUAUUCACCUUUCGCUGUGAGAGUUUUCUCAUGAAAGGUAAUCUAAGGUAGAGAACAUCGACAAACUUCUCAAAGCAUAAUGUUACAGGACCAACCUCUUGAGUUUGCUUCAGUUCGGAAGAAGAGAGAAAAUUCUUCCCCGGGAGGAAGUAGAAGCUGUGAAGCAACAUCCAAACCAAAGCAAAAUACAAGCUACUUUUCAAGGUAUGAUCUUAGUUCUGAGUUAGCAUUAACAGAGCCUUCACUCCGUGCCUCGGCGAUCUUUGUACAGCCAAUUCCCUGCAAGAAAGGGGUCAAAGUGAACGUCUUUAUAAGACCAAGGGCUCGAAAAUCCCAUAAGGCAUGCAUCUGCAAAUAACUUCUCCUGCGAAGAGGAGAACAAGAACAACCCAGGACACAUGUGGAUACGCUCAAUGUAGCACAAUGAUUAAAUUAAAUCUGCCAAAAUGCUCCAAUGACAGAUAAAGCCAUAAAUAGACAUCUCACGUCAUUGUGUUCGACUGUUUUGAUAUCCCGUUUCAUAUUAAACUCUUGAUCCUUAGAUACGACGGCAAGGAUCAUGGCCAACAAAAGCAUGGGACUGAUUCACUGAGUGCCCAGAUAAAGAAGGUAAUUUAUCAUGUCAAUAGCAUGAAUGGAUGACGGUACCACUGAAUGAAAAGUUCGAUAACGAACAACAUGCCAAUGCACAUAGCUUGAAAAGUGCCAGAAGGAAAAAGCACAAAAAAGAUUGAAAUGGCGAGCUGACAUCCAUGAAGGAUGAUGACAUUCCCUGUUCAGCAGUAGAACAGGACCCCUAAAAUAGGAAUAAGGCACUUGCCGGUACUUGCUCAUGAGCUUAAUAAGGCGCAUGCUAUUUCAUUACGAGAAAGAAAAAGAGGACAAUAACCUGCCACGUACAUGGUUCAAGCCACAAAUUGUCGACAACAUCAGAGUUUGAUAGUCAAAGAGCUAUAAGGCCAUGACCAGCCGCCCAAACAGCAUGAGGGAACUUGGUUUCCUCUGUCCACUUUCAAAUCGUCCAUAUUAUGCAAGUCACCUCAAAGAAACCAACGGAACUUGUACGCAUAACGAUAUCAUCGUUUGCUCGCUGGUCCGGGUAUAUCAAGUUAGCUAAAAUUUUAGAACAAUGAUUCUUAUCUGAUAACCCUACCACCUUCUAUUUUUAACCACUGAAUUUGUUGUACUCCCGAUUCUUUAGAGUGCGCAAAAAAUAAAACAGCAGAAAUUUAUAGAUUAGAAUUUUGUCAAUUUUUAGAAUUGUUCGGAAGACAAUAGCCCGGGAUAGUCCAACAAACUAAUAGUAAGCAUCAAGGAGAAUUAAUUGAGCAUAACUCCAUUGUUUAUUUGGCCGUACGGUUCAAUUAGAUCAACGACAUUCUGUGUGUCCUCCUCAGUCAAUGUCAGCCCCAGAUGAUUCACCAGCAUUCGGCUAAUCUGCCUCACAACUUUCGUUUGCCGAAUCCAUUUAGGAACCAUAUUGCUCAAGGCCUAUGCAAAAUAAUGAGCGAAUAAUAUGCAUAUGGUAUAAAAUAUAUCACAUAAUGGGUAACCGCUCCAACCUCCAAAACUUCCAUUUUUACUCUCCUCCGAGAAUGAGAUUAGAGCACAAAGUCCCGGUGCUUAUUGGUUUUAGCAAAGAGAAAAUGAUCGAUUCAAGCAGAACUGAAUUUUGCUUCCCCUUACUCUUCGUCAAUUAUAAUUUAUGUUCCCUUUCCUCUGAACAAAAGAAAAAGGGACAUGCAGCCAGUUCCAUGGACCCCCGGGAAUCGGAUCGGGCAAAUCCGAAUCCAAAGCCGAAUAGGUUGGUUCCCAAUUUCACAAACUAGGACCCAGCCCCGUCUGGUCAAGUUCCCGGUUCCGGAGUGGGCCAAUUUAGCUCAGAAUCUACCCAUAAUCGGGUUCAAACAGUUCAGAGAAAAUUCAAAAUAACUUGGAAUUACCACCGCUCAAAGUUAGAAAAUCAAUCGUCAAAAAAAGUUAAAAAAUCAACAUCCCACUGAGAACCUUUCAGAUCAUCAUGUAACGUCAACUGAAAACACAUUAGAUCAGAUCUAACGUAUUGUCUUCACUGACAUGUGCCGACUUUUGCCAACAAAUUGGAAGACGUUUAAUCCCCUUAAUCCCCUCGAUUUCUUCCUCGAUUCAAAAAUCUUCAAUCGGAAUUUAACUUUAUCAAUUCGCAAAGUUUCCAAAUCCAAUGGGGUGUCGGAACUUGUUCGGAGGUCUUGUGAGCAUGCAUCAAUCCCCGUUAGAUAUCAGAAUGAGGAGUCCAACAAGAGAAUACAGCUGAAAUCCAAGCGCCUCAAUUCUCAAGUCAAAUAUAAGCUAUCCAGAACUGCAAAUCCACCAGCGACUCCACCUUCAUGUGAUGAUGAUAUCUUUGUUCUCAUUAAAUAACCACACUGUUCAUUUACGAUGACAUUCUCUUUCUUCCUGGUAAGAUCAAUCUCAGAUUACCAUGAGCACAUCAAAUGCAUUUACAAACAUUGUCGCUGAAUUCACUAGUGCUAACACGUGCGAACAACGGUGCUGUAGAAGGCAUGAAAUAAAUUAAAAACAGAAGCUUUGGUUAUCAGAUUUUCCCAUCCGACUCCAACUGCAAAGAUUAAAUUCCAAGUCAUUGAUUUUAAUUAAUCCGAGAUCACAUCCAUCAAACUAAUGAGAGAUGGAGCGACAUCAAAAAAUUACCUCACAUAAGCACCAUAUACCCCGAGUUCUGACAUGGCGUGAUCUUUAUAACAAAUGCCAUCACGAAUGAGAGUUGUGGGAGAAAUGGACGGAAAAAUUCUUUGCAUAAGGAUAUAGGCAGCAUCCUCCUCACUACCUUCACGUUGCAGCCUUAAUAGGGUUUCUCUCACGUCGUCGCCAUAGAUGUUGUUCCCUAAAGAGAGAAAUGACUUCAUUUUAGAAAGAAGAUAGCGCGGCUUAUAACAAAGCAAUCCUUGAAUAAUAUAAUCAAGGUGAGAGAUAAUUACCUCCCCCUUCCCUCUGGGGCUUCAUGACAAAUAGCUCGGGACUUUCAAUUGCUUUACCAACAAUAUGAGGGUCUUCUAAGCUCCAUAAACCUGCAAAGGAUUUCUGGAUCUCGGCAAUGUCUUCUUUGUUCUCAAGGAAUCUGAUAUAUGCACCAAUGGAGUCUCGUAAGUGAUCAAACACGUAGGAGAUAGAGUCUAUUCGACAGUGCAUCUUCUCCUGUAAUUAAAUUGACUUCUAAUGUUCCCAUCGAUAUGUUAUCGAGACUGUUCGGUAAGACAUAUGGAAGGAGCUAAAAUGGCCAUUUGGUAUUAAAAGUAGUCCUUAAUUCGCAGUCCUGGGUGCCAUUGAUUACAUCUAAGCUUCAAACUCAACUAAACAUCAUCAUAUUAGCUAUUGUUGUAUGCAUAGCACACAUCUAUAUACAUUUGUGCUUCAGGAGUUUUUCCAGGAAUGGUACGAUUCCAUAUAAAGCACAGAGGAUGAAGAAAUGUGAUCUGUUGAACAAAAUAUAUCACCUUUCAAGUACAUUAGGUUUUGCAAGUUCUUGCUGAAUCUUUUUCGUGCCGGCUAAAUGAUAAGAUAUGGAUGGGCACUUAAUUGCAGAUGACUCUUCCGUAAGUAGCCUUGCUCUCCAUUCCUACAAUACAGCAAGAAACAAAACUUAAGUCACACCUUUCAAGCAUUGACCCAGGGCUUAAGAUUUCCGCACUUCUUACUAUUUUAUAACAUAGGGUUUUCAAGUGGCACUAAUUUGACGCCUGUCAACUUCUUGAGGUUGUGUGAAGAAUGGAUUUCAUAUUUCCUCUUAUUGGUUUCUUUCCAUUCCCUCUGUUUACUUACUUUGUGGAUAAUCAUUUAUUUGCCUUCCACCCAGAAAUUUUUUUAAGUUGAUGAUAUUUUCUGGAACAAAGUCCACUUUUUCCAUAACCAAUUGGACAAACUUGGUUAUUUGGAGGAAAUGUCAUGAUUACAUUGUUUAGUAUUCUUUUACAUCGCAUAAUGCUAUAUGUUUUGAACAUGAAGUCAAUUGUUUAGCCAAGCUUGGCUUACGAAUGUUCAUAUGUACAUUAUCAAGUAUUGUUCAUUGUGGCCAGUCUCAUGGAAUUAUGAUAUAGUAAUGAGGGAAUCCUAACAAUCAAAAUGUGCAGGAAAUAGAGAAGUAUAUUAUAAUCAUGAAUCUAACAGAAAUAAUCGACUUGCAUAAAACAUCAUGAUGAUACUAAUAAUUGUUCUAUUCAGUCAUCAAGACAUAUAAAAGCGAAUCUUUAUGAAAACUAGAGUAAGGAUGCAGUCACUAUAACAUUGUAAGAAAUGCUGCCACAGAAAUAUUUUAUGAGAAGAAUAAAACCCGCCUCAAACGCGGGAUUUUCACUAGUAUGGUAAUAAAACAUAUCUAUAAAGAAAGCAUCUGGUAAAGCUAAAAUGGAAGGAGAAAUUUUCUGAAAAUUAAUCACAGCUACAGUCAAUAUUUCAAGGAAGACAAUCUUCUCUUAGUUGCUAUUAGCUAAUUAUUAGGAUAAGGCUUAAGGAUGUACCGAUUCUGAAGGAUAAUCAUUUGGGGUAUACCCGGCUCUAAAAUAAAUAGCUGCUACAGGGACUCCACCUCUUGCAAUAGCAAAUCUUCAUUAUGUAAGUGAAACGUGCAUGUAAAGCCAAAGUUCAACAAGAUAAACUAGAGAUGUCAGCAACUACAUACACAAGUAACGUCCCAUCAGGCUGAAGUUCCCCCUCUGCAUCAAUUUCUGCUAAGGUCUUCCGAAUAGACCUCACAUUAUGUGUGUUAUAUAAUUAAGGAAGCAUCCAAAGCAAAUUAUGGACAUGAAGAGACUGAUGGACAGAAAUAGAGAACUUUAUAGUUUGGAAAGCAGAUUUUUGGACGCAGAGCAUCAUAGCAGAUAGAUGUAGAAUCCAAGAAAUGAUCUAAGAGAGACAAAGAGAGAUAAUCACAGAUAUAACCUACCCUUCUGAUAUCUCAAAACAAUCGCUAGUAUAUAGAAGGAUAUCUUUCGCUCACGACAGAGCUAAGCCAGUGCAGGUCGUACAUAUUUCGUUCCUCUGUCUGAACCACAACCAGAACAGUGGCCCUGUUAAAAGUAAUCAAUUGUAAUCAGGUCUUAAUGAAAUAUACUCCACAUAUGCAGACCUAUGAAUAAAAAAAAGAAAAGAAGACGACCAUAAUUAUUUUGCAAUUCUUACUUUGGGUUAUUGAACUCGAUCCAAGCUUUGGCCAAGGCCUCUGCAUAAUGACUCACAGCAGCAUUGGUAGGGAUCCUCCUGGGAUCUAACCCAAGAGUUUCGCCAUAAUGGCUGAGCAAGGACCCGUGUCAUUGCCACCUGACGUUAAGAUCAAGCUUUUGGUCUUCUGUGACCAUCUUUGACCGUGCAUGUGAACAGGUGCGUAUGGGCUUAGAGAAAUCACAGGGAAUGUAAGAGUCAGUACAUAUGACCAACCUAACCUGUGGAGCUCACUAACAAGACAGCCAAGACCCGGAAAUGAGGAUGAUAUGGUGUUCAGUUCUAUCUGAAGCAGUAACUUCGUUUGUUCAUCAAGCGUAUAAUCCGAUUGAUGCAAACCCAGUCGUAUCUCCUGUGGAGAAUUGAGAGAGCAAAAUUAUGGGGUUUAGCACACUAAUCAUAUUCAGCAAUCAGCAUAUUUUUCUUCCAGACGAGGAAAGCAGCCAAUCAAAGUGACAUGAACUUGAAAAGCCAGUUUUAAUACACUAUUGCAACCAAACUUAAGGUAAAGCUUUCACAAAAUUCUAAAUUUAUGAACUUACAUCUUUUUUAUUAAUUUCCAUCAUCUUGGAAUGGAUAUCUACGAGUCGAGAGGUGAAAGCAUCCACCUCUUUUGUUCUGCAAUGAGAAGAAGUUACAUCAUGUAAUUCAACAGUAAGUUCGGACUUGCUUCACCAAUGCGACAACUAAAAGCCGGACUACAAAAAUACCAUUGAUUGCAAGGAAGGUAGAAGGGCUCAUAAUUUCCAAAAUACUAGGUUAUGAGAAAAAUAGAAGAGCUAAAAGGAGUUGAAUUUUUCAUAAGCUAAGAAACAACCAAGAGCAUAUGAUACAAGCCAAAGCAGAGUGAGAAUUGAAUCAGACCUAAGAAUUCACAUGAAACAAUGGUCUUAAUCUUCUUGAAUUGGACACUAUAUGCUUAUAGCAUAAACUACAUGCCGUAUUCGACCAAAAGAAGAAAAAAAAAAAAAACUACAUGCUGCAGACAUAUAGAUAAAGCAGAAUAAAUACCUGGAUAAUGAAUCUUGUAAAAACUUUCCAUCCAAACUCACACGAUCGACAAGCUCAUUGAAAAUAGGAGCUAAUUCGCAAGCCUCCCUAAACUGACUCUCGGGAAUGAGAUGGGCAACAAAGCAAACGGAGCAUGCAUCAGACCGACACCAGGUGCUUUUCCUGAUCUCUGCAACACAUACGCAUAAAUACCAUUAUCAGUCAAACUGUAGAAUUAAACAACCCAGAUCAAAUUCGACAGGAAACUCCAUAAACAGCACAUCAGAAAGUCGCAUAUUCCAAGUCAUUGAUUUUGAUUAAUCAGAGAUCACAUCCAUCAAACUAAUGAGAGAUGGAGUGACAUCAAAAAAUUACCUCACAUAAGCACCAUAUACCCCGAGUUCUGACAUGGCGUGAUCUUUAUAACAAAUGCCAUCACGAAUGAGAGUUGUGGGAGAAAUGGACGGAAAAAUUCUAUGCAUGAGGAUAUAGGCAGCAUCCUCCUCACUCCCUUCACGUUGCAGCCUUAAUAGGGUUUCUCUCACAUCGUCGCCAUAGAUGUUGUUCCCUAAAGAGAGAAAUGACUUCAUUUUAGAAAGAAGAUAGCGCGGCUUAUAACAAAGCAAUCCUUGAAUAAUAUAAUCAAGGUGAGAGAUAAUUACCUCCCCCUUCCCUCUGGGGCUUCAUGACAAAUAGCUCGGGACUUUCAAUUGCUUUACCAACAAUAUGAGGGUCUUCUAAGCUCCAUAAACCUGCAAAGGAUUUCUGGAUCUCGGCAAUGUCUUCUUUGUUCUCAAGGAAUCUGAUAUAUGCACCAAUGGAGUCUCGUAAGUGAUCAAACACGUAGGAGAUAGAGUCUAUUCGACAGUGCAUCUUCUCCUGUAAUUAAAUUGACUUCUAAUUUUCCCAUCGAUAUGUUAUCGAGACUGUUCGGUAAGACAUAUGAAUGGAGCUAAAAUGGCCAUUUGGUAUUAAAGGUAGUCCUUAAUUCGCAGUCCUGGGUGCCAUUGAUUACAUCUUAGCUUCAAACUCAACUAAACAUCAUCAUAUUAGCUAUUGUUGUAUGCAUAGCACACAUCUAUAUACAUUUGUGCUUCAGGAGUUUUUCCAGGAAUGGUACGAUUCCAUAUAAAGCACAGAGGAUGAAGAAAUGUGAUCUGUUGAACAAAAUAUAUCACCUUUCAAGUACAUUAGGUUUUGCAAGUUCUUGCUGAAUCUUUUUCGUGCCGGCUAAAUGAUAAGAUAUGGAUGGGCACUUAAUUGCAGAUGACUCUUCCGUAAGUAGCCUUGCUCUCCAUUCCUACAAUACAGCAAGAAACAAAACUUAAGUCACACCUUUCAAGCAUUGACCCAGGGCUUAAGAUUUCCGCACUUCUUACUAUUUUAUGACAUAGGGUUUUCAAGUGGCACUAAUUUGACGCCUGUCAACUUCUUGAGGUUGUGUGAAGAAUGGAUUUCAUAUUUCCUCUUAUUGGUUUCUUUCCAUUCCCUCUGUUUACUUACUUUGUGGAUAAUCAUUUAUUUGCAUUCCACCCAGAAAUUUUUUUAAGUUGAUGACAUUUUCUGGAACAAAGUCCACUUUUUCCAUAACCAAUUGGACAAACUUGGUUAUUUGGAGGAAAUGUCAUGAUUACAUUGUUUAGUAUUCUUUUACAUCGCAUAAUGCUAUAUGUUUUGAACAUUAAGUCAAUUGUUUAGCCAAGCUUGGCUUACGAAUGUUCAUACGUACAUUAUCAAGUAUUGUUCAUUGUGGCCAGUCUCAUGGAAUUAUGAUAUAGUAAUGAGGGAAUCCUAACAAUCAAAAUGUGCAGGAAAUAGAGAAGUAUAUUAUAAUCAUGAAUCUAACAGAAAUAAUCGACUUGCAUAAAACAUCAUGAGGAUACUAAUAAUCGUUCUAUUCAAUCAUCAAUACAUAUAAAUGUAAAUCUUUAUGAAAACUAGAGUAAGGAUGCAGUCAUUAUAACAUUGUAAGAAAUGCUGACGCAGAAAUAUUUUAUGAGAAGAAUAAAACCCGCCUCAAACGCGGGAUUUUCACUAGUAUGGUAAUAAAACAUAUCUAUAAAGAAAGCAUCUGGUAAAGCUAAAAUGGAAGGAGAAAUUUUCCGAAAAUUAAUCACAACUACAAUCAAUAUUACCUCCCCCUUCCCUCUGGGGCUUCAUGACAAAUAGCUCGGGACUUUCAAUUGCUUUACCAACAAUAUGAGGGUCUUCUAAGCUCCAUAAACCUGCAAAGGAUUUCUGGAUCUCGGCAAUGUCUUCUUUCUUCUCAAGGAAUCUGAUAUAUGCACCAAUGGAGUCUCGUAAGUGAUCAAACACGUAGGAGAUACAGUCUAUUCGACAGCUCAUCUUCUCCUGUAAUUAAAUUGACUUCUAAUGUUCCCAUCGAUAUGUUAUCGAGACUGUUCGGUAAGACAUAUGAAAGGAGCUAAAAUGGCCAUUUGGUAUUAAAAGUAGUCCUUAAUUCGCAGUCCUGGGUGCCAUUGAUUACAUCUAAGCUUCAAACUCAACUAAACAUCAUCAUAUUAGCUAUUGUUGUAUGCAUAGCACACAUCUAUAUACAGACAAAAUGAGUUUCAGUCUAAUAAAAUGUAAAGCAAAGCUGGGAGCGCUUCAAGCAUCCAGCGCCGCUGCUGGUGGCGCUGUCCUGCCUUCCUCCAUAUCCGGGAGCCCCACUUUCUCCAGUAGUGCCUGAAACUGGGAUCGGUCCUCCUCCUCCUCCAUCCAUCCUCCUCCUCCGCUGCCUGUCCUUCAUCCAUGGCAUCUGGUUCCGUACGGAAGACGGAAAAUACAAGGGUUGCUCCCUGCUGUGCUGUCAUUUGCAGAAUAAAACUCUAGAGCAAAACACAAAUCAGUAUUCUUCCUAUUCCCAAAAAAAAGGCACAGCAAAAGAAAAGAGAAUACAUGGUUGAAGUUGUAUGGUAGCACAACGUCCUCUUCCCUCCCAUACUGUCCACCAAAGGAGGCGUAGAUGCGUUGAGCGACGUGGUCAACGAACGCAUCGAACUCAUCCAAAUGGAACUUGAAUCUAUCCAAACCGUUCACAAACGCAGCAAUGGCCUCCGGGGUCCCAAGACGGACCCCAUCAAAAUCCAUGCACGCUUCAUCAUAAAAGCUUAUCAGCUCUUGCCUAUCCCUUGCCAAAAUAUCAUGGUAUAACACACCCCAACCUGCCGCCAUGUCUUUGAGUCUUUCAUCAUCCAUACCUCUGUUCUGUUCAAGAACAAUAGGUGCAAAUAACGUACGCAUAAAGAAAAAAAGGAAAAAAAAAAAAAUGGCAGAGCUCGACCUCAUUUCCACAUACUGACCUGUCGACGACGCUCGAAGGGAAAAAGACGGUGGAGCCUCACCGCGAUCGCCGUCCGACGUUUGCAGAGAUUCGACGACGAAAUGAGAGAGCGGGGCGGUAUUCUGUUUAGGAUGACCGAGAAAUGGGUUUUCUCUUCCACCAAUCAGAGUUUUAAAUUUGGGAAAACACGUUUCGCGACGUCGUUUAUACUAUGUAUGCGGAGUUAGAGCAUGGGUGAGCCAAGUCAGAUUGAAAAAAAAAAAAAAUUGAUAAAAUAUUACUUAUUUUGAAUUUUCAACUAUUCAAAUCAAAGUUAACACUUGAAGUGAAUCAAUAAAGCUACAUCUACCACCACCGCCCGGCCACCAAUCUUUCCUUACACGAGAUACGAGAUUCGAGAUUGGACAGGAUAAUUCCUACUCGCCGACAUUAGACAACUCUCAAAUGGAUGAACUGGCAUUGGAUAGAGCCGUCUGAUUGGGGCAUUUUUCUGCUUCUAGGGUUUGUGUGUGGAAAUCGAACUUACUUAAAUUGUGAAGAUGUUUAAACCAAUUCGAAUUUGUGAAAGAUAUUUCUGCUUCUAGGGUUUGUGUGUGGAAAUCAAACUUACUUAAAUUGUGAAGAUGUUUAAACCAAUUCGAAUUUGUGAAAAACACGUACACAUCAGCAUUCAAAGUCCCCCUCAAAUUUAGUCGCGAUAUUUCUAUUAAUCAAGAUAAUAUAUAUAAUGAUUUCCCAAAAAUAGUCAUAAAACUUAUUACAAGGAUACCAAUUCAGUCUAAAAUUUUUCAAUUUGCUUAAUUUAGUCCUAACCUUUUAUUAAGAUUUGUCAAUAGUCUAUUCGAGCAAUUUUAAAUGACGAUAGGUGGUUGUUAGCCAAAAUUGACCGAAAUUGCUAUAUUGGUAAAUCUUCAAAAGUUUAAAAUUGAAUUAAUACAUUGAAAAAUUUUGAUUGAAUUUGCAUUUAUAUAUUAAGUUUGAGACUUAAAAAGAAAAAUCUCAUGUGCAUUGGUGGAGAAUCCGAAUGCGGUGUCAUAUCUUUUCAUUUGAAAUGUUAAUGUUUGAUACGCAUGCUGUGUUAAGCUGUAUAACGACAUGUAAACCAAAGUCCGUACAUCAUAUCUGGAAAGAUUUCGAUCGGCUAAGGACAAAUACCCGGUUAUUAUCCCACAUGGGAAAUCCGCCAACCGCGCGGUGGCAAGUCAAUGAUCUCAUCUCAAGGAUUGACCGCCGAGGUGGCCAGAGCAGCACCUCACAUUUGGCUUUUGUAGAAGAAGAAUCAAAGCGCUUUUCUUUUUGGUAUAUCUAUGAUGAUGAUGAUAUUAUUAUUAUUAUUAUUAUUAUUAUUAUUAUUAUUAUUAUUGAUCUAAUUCUCACGGACUCAAUAUAAUAUUCACACAUACCACGAGGACAUCUAGAGGACCGCAUGCACAUACGUAAGGUAUUCAUUUAUUUAUUAUUGGGUUUCCACGUUGUCUCUUCCUUUUUCUCCUUUUUCUUUUUUCAUUUUUAUAUUCCUUAGAAAUUAGCAGCCCCUUUAGAAGAAGCCUCUAUUCAAGGGGAAGAAAAGGUCGUCUCGGACUCCCCCAUCAUUGAGGUUCCACUAAAAUGACCAUUAAUUCAGGUUUUAAAUUCAAAGAGAUUGUCUCAGGUACCAACUCCUAACAAAAAAAUUAAAUUGGUCUAUACCAUGAUUUUGAUAAUUCAAAGAGAUUGUCUAAGGGAGAACCAUCACUUCAACGGGUUGCUUAUUAAACUCUCUUUUGAACUUAUCGUGGAAUCAAACUGAAUUUCAAAUGAUGACAACAAGAGCAUGUGCAGGUGCAUGGUGCUUGCAUGUAUCUUUGCGAUAUAUGGGAAAUUGGGUCAUUUGCAUGAAAAAGCUGUAGGUGCUUCUUACUUUCUUAGUUUGCUAUUGAAAGCACACGGAAAUCGAAAACCAUGGAGAAGUCUAUCAAGUGACUAAACUUGAUUAAUCUGUAGAGCAUGGCACCUAGAGUUAGGCGUAUUGUCGAUCUUGAAUUUCAACGGGUUGUUUAUUAAACUCUCUUUUGAACUUAUCGUGGAAUCAAACUGAAUUUUAGAUGAUGGCAUCAAGAAUAUGUGCAAGUCGCCACGCUUGCGUGUAUAUUUGCGAUAUAUGGAAAUGGAAAUCAAAAUCGGGCCACUUGCAUGGAAAAAGUUGGAAUUGCUUUUUACUUUCUUAGUUGGCUAUUGAAAGCACGUGGAAAUUGAAAACUAUGGAGAAGUCCAUCAAGUGACUAACCUUGAUUAAUCUGUAGAGUUAGGCGUACCGUCGGUCUUGAAUUUUCCGUAUGCAUCGUGAUGAGGGUAUAGAUAAGGGCUUUGCCUAGUAGAGAGGGGUGUGCACGCUAAAUUUUCAGCAUUAAGCUAAAACAUUCUCCUGUGGGUGAUCUAUAGUCUACUGACGCUAGACGCCCUUCUUUUUUCUUUUUUCUGGGUGUGAAAUUAAAAAGAAAAAGAAAAAAAGAGAAGUAAAACUUGUUAGAAACAAUAAUUAUCAAGUUGGAAUGUAGAAAUCAUGUUCAAUGUAUUGUUACUGUGAUUUAAUAUUUGCUUCUUUUCGUUUCUAAUUUGCUAAUAACUUGACAUCCCUUCUAUAGUUAAAAAGGUUGUGAUAGUUGCGGACGAAGACUUUUGCAUUACAUUGUUUAGGCUGUUUUUUCACAUGCAUUGCUUGUCACUAUAUAGUAAUGAUCUUUUAAAAUGAGCAAUAAACUUAUAUCUUAACCCAUAUUUGAAAAGUUGAGUUAUUGCAUGGAUUAGUUAUAUUUAGUAAAUGGAUUUAAAAUAGUAAAGUCUAAAAUAAUAUGGAUAUUAAACAAACUCACGGUUUACUUAAACCAAUUCACCUCUAUGACUCUCUCUCGCCCUUACUAAUCUCGCAAUCACUCACUCCACGUCCUUACCUCAGUUUGCAGAUGAGUUUUCCUAUAUUAGGUAGAACAUGAAAGCGCUUUAACCAUAUGAAUUAGGUUAGAUAGAAAAACGCGUCAGAUCAUUAUGAGUAUCUAAAUUUGUAUUGCAUAAAAAUAAGUCAAAACAACUUAAAUUGGCCAAAUUAGGUCAAUUUAUUUUUCACUCAACCCAAACCCAACCUAAUCCACCCAUUUCACGAGUCUCUAUAAUACUAAGUAUUAGGUUUUUAUCUCUUGUUUCCAACUAUACAAAUUUUUUUUCUAAAGUAUUAAAGCUCGAUGGUCAGAGUUCUAAUCCUAACCCCGACACAUACUAUUCUUCACGCGUACUUCGAUUUUUGGCAUGCCCACAUUUGUCUACCUUUUCCAUUCUUGUUGUCAUAGAAUCCUCACCAUGUCCUAAAUUGAGGAAUGAAUUAGACUGAAGAAGUAAUUUCGUAGGGAAGUCGACUCAUGCCGUUUGUUCAGAAGAUCGCCUCAAAGUAAAUGGAUUGAUUCGCUUGGAGGAAAUUGAUGUGCACUUGUCGGUGCGUCUAACAUUUUUUUUUUUAUAAAUAUCAUUUGUAUUGAAUGACUAAAAUAUAUUUUUAUUUUUCUAUGCAAAUAUUUAAAAAUAAAUGGUUAUCGAUAAAGAAAUUACUUUGUAUUGAUUAAUUAUUUCAUAAAAUAAGCAAUUAUUUUUAAAAUAUAUAUUUUCAGAUUAUUUAUUUUUCACCAAACAAACGGAGUUUGCUUAAUUGUUCGAUUGAUGCUAUUGGUGUUUCUUUUCAAUUCAAUCGCCUCGUCAACAAUCUCCUCUGACCCCUUAACGAACCCCUCUCUCUCUCUUCAAUUCCCUCACCUCCUCGCACGUACCCCGCCCGCAUUGUCUCCUCCUCCUGCAAUUGCCGUUUUUCCAAUUUCACCGCCUUCAUCGCCACCUCCACCUCCUCGAUACGCCCCUCCCCUCUCCUAAUCUCAUCCAUCCAUCUCAGAACCACCGAAACCUUCUCCAGCAAUCUCUCCGUGCAAUUCCAAUACUCGUGCCCUUUCACUUCCGACCGCUCCUCAAUUCUCUCCAAAUUCAGCCGUAGCGGUGGCGAAGAAGGGGCUGAACUGGAAAAAGAAAAAACAAGGGGGGGCUUUCUAGUCUUUUCAGCCGACAGAGAACCGGUUUCGGGUCGGUCGGUGGAUCCGGACCCGAUGAUUCCAAAAUAAAAAAGAAAACCCUGGAAGCCCUAGAGAAAUUGUCUCCAGUUCACACAGAUCCAGCAGGAGGAGGAGGAGGAGGAGGAGGAGGAGAGAUGUCGACGAUCGGUCCAGAAGACGUGACAGAAGCGGAAGGAGGAGGAGGAGGAGAGAUGUCGAUGGUGGGUCCGGAAGAAGACAGGGAUCCGAUGAUAGCGGAGGCCAAGCGGUUCGUGGAGAACUACUACAGCACGUUCGACGCGAACAGGGAGGGCUUGGUGAACCUGUACCGGCAACGAUCGGUGCUGAAAAUCGACGGCCGGAAGAUCCAGGGCAAGGAGGCUAUCCUCGCCAAACUCAC